CCUACGGGAGGCAGCAGUGAGGAAUAUUGGUCAAUGGUCGGGAGACUGAACCAGCCAAGCCGCGUGAGGGAUGACAGUACAGAGUAUUGUAAACCUCUUUUGUCAGGGAACAAAGGCGGGGACGUGUCCCCGGAUGGGUGUAACCGAAGAAAAAGCAUCGGCUAACCCCGGGCCAGCAGCCGCGGUAAUACGGAGGAUGCGAGCGUUAUCCGGAUUUAUUGGGUUAAAGGGGUGCGCAGGCGGACUGUUAAGUCAGCGGUCAAAGCCCGGGGCUCAACCCCGGCCCGCCGUUGAAACUGGCAGUCUCGAGUUGGAGAGAAGUAUGCGGAAUGCGCGGUGUAGCGGUGAAAUGCAUAGAUAUCGCGCAGAACUCCGAUUGCGAAGGCAGCAUGCCGGCUCCACACUGACGCUGAGGCACGAAAGCGUGGGUAUCGAACAGGAUUAGAUACCCCGGUAGUC
rnacentral:rRNA from 1 species